rnacentral:rRNA from 1 species
UACGUAGGGGGCAAGCGUUGUCCGGAAUUAUUGGGCGUAAAGCGCGCGCAGGCGGCUCUUUAAGUCUGGUGUAUAAGUGCGGGGCUCAACCCCGUGAGGCACUGGAAACUGGGGAGCUUGAGUGCAGAAGAGGAGAGCGGAAUUCCACGUGUAGCGGUGAAAUGCGUAGAGAUGUGGAGGAACACCAGUGGCGAAGGCGGCUCUCUGGCCUGUAACUGACGCUGAAGCUCGAAAGCUAGGGGAGCAAACGGG